rnacentral:rRNA from 1 species
ACGCUGGCGGCGUGCCUAAUACAUGCAAGUCGAACGAGUUCUGAUUAUUGAAAGGUGCUUGCAUCUUGAUUUAAUUUUGAACGAGUGGCGGACGGGUGAGUAACACGUGGGUAACCUGCCCUUAAGUGGGGGAUAACAUUUGGAAACAGAUGCUAAUACCGCAUAAAUCCAAAAACCGCAUGGUUCUUGGCUGAAAGAUGGCGUAAGCUAUCGCUUUUGGAUGGACCCGCGGCGUAUUAGCUAGUUGGUGAGGUAACGGCUCACCAAGGCAAUGAUACGUAGCCGAACUGAGAGGUUGAUCGGCCACAUUGGGACUGAGACACGGCCCAAACUCCUACGGGAGGCAGCAGUAGGGAAUCUUCCACAAUGGACGCAAGUCUGAUGGAGCAACGCCGCGUGAGUGAAGAAGGCUUUCGGGUCGUAAAACUCUGUUGUUGGAGAAGAAUGGUCGGCAGAGUAACUGUUGUCGGCGUGACGGUAUCCAACCAGAAAGCCACGGCUAACUACGUGCCAGCAGCCGCGGUAAUACGUAGGUGGCAAGCGUUAUCCGGAUUUAUUGGGCGUAAAGCGAGCGCAGGCGGUUUUUUAAGUCUGAUGUGAAAGCCCUCGGCUUAACCGAGGAAGUGCAUCGGAAACUGGGAAACUUGAGUGCAGAAGAGGACAGUGGAACUCCAUGUGUAGCGGUGAAAUGCGUAGAUAUAUGGAAGAACACCAGUGGCGAAGGCGGCUGUCUGGUCUGUAACUGACGCUGAGGCUCGAAAGCAUGGGUAGCGAACAGGAUUAGAUACCCUGGUUAGUCCAUGCCGUAAACGAUGAAUGCUAGGUGUUGGAGGGUUUCCGCCCUUCAGUGCCGCAGCUAACGCAUUAAGCAUUCCGCCUGGGGAGUACGACCGCAAGGUUGAAACUCAAAGGAAUUGACGGGGGCCCGCACAAGCGGUGGAGCAUGUGGUUUAAUUCGAAGCAACGCGAAGAACCUUACCAGGUCUUGACAUCUUUUGAUCACCUGAGAGAUCAGGUUUCCCCUUCGGGGGCAAAAUGACAGGUGGUGCAUGGUUGUCGUCAGCUCGUGUCGUGAGAUGUUGGGUUAAGUCCCGCAACGAGCGCAACCCUUAUGACUAGUUGCCAGCGUUUAGUUGGGCACUCUAGUAAGACUGCCGGUGACAAACCGGAGGAAGGUGGGGAUGACGUCAAAUCAUCAUGCCCCUUAUGACCUGGGCUACACACGUGCUACAAUGGAUGGUACAACGAGUUGCGAGACCGCGAGGUCAAGCUAAUCUCUUAAAGCCAUUCUCAGUUCGGACUGUAGGCUGCAACUCGCCUACACGAAGUCGGAAUCGCUAGUAAUCGCGGAUCAGCACGCCGCGGUGAAUACGUUCCCGGGCCUUGUACACACCGCCCGUCACACCAUGAGAGUUUGUAACACCCGAAGCCGGUGGCGUAACCCUUUUAGGGAGCGAGCCGUCUAAGGUGGGACAAAUGAUU